rnacentral:lncRNA from 1 species
UUCAUCCCUUUGUCUUCUUCCACAAAACUCUCUUCCUUUUUCUUAAUCUUCUUCAUCUGCUCCUUUCAUCAGGGACAGCUCUAGGUGAAAGAGUCCUCUAUUUCAUCCACUAGACAUCAACUUCUCAUCACUUACCAUUAAAAAAUCUCUUUUACAUCACAUCGUUAGAAGAGUUUGCCAUCUCUUUCUAUUGUUUGUUCCUUCCAACAACCCAUCUUCUAUUAAACAAUUCAUUUCUUCCACCUUCCUCUCCAUUUCUACCUUAAAAAAUUCAUUCCCCUCUUCUUCCUCCAC